UAUAAUAUUUUUUAUUUUCAAAAAGAUAAAUUAUUUAUUGAAAGUAAUAUGUUAAUGAUCUUCCAAAGAAGAAACAGGAUUGUCAGACCCAUCUGGAUCGAUGCACUACUUUUUUGUACAGCAUGGGACCUGAUGGCAAAAGAGAGAAACUCACGGUUUUGCAGGAGACUUUCUUAGUGGAACAAGGAAUACGCGAGGUUUUAUUAAUAUCCU
rnacentral:lncRNA from 1 species